ACAAGCGGUGGAGCAUGUGGUUAAUUCGAAGCAACGCGAAGAACCUUACCUGGUCUUGACAUCCCCUGACAACCCGAGAGAUCGGGCGUUCCCCUUCGGGGGGACAGGGUGACAGGUGGUGCAUGGUUGUCGUCAGCUCGUGUCGUGAGAUGUUGGGUUAAGUCCCGCAACGAGCGCAACCCUCGACCUUAGUUGCCAGCAUUCAGUUGGGCACUCUAAGGUGACUGCCGGCUAAAAGUCGGAGGAAGUGGGGAUGACGUCAAAUCAUCAUGCCCCUUAUGACCUGGGCUACACACGUGCUACAAUGGGCGGUACAAAGGGUCGCGAACCCGCGAGGGGGAGCCAAUCCCAAAAAGCCGCUCUCAGUUCGGAUUGCAGGCUGCAACUCGCCUGCAUGAAGCCGGAAUCGCUAGUAAUCGCGGAUCAGCAUGCCGCGGUGAAUACGUUCCCGGGCCUU
rnacentral:rRNA from 1 species